AAAAAUCUUACUAUUAUAUUUGUAACAAAUUUUAUACAUAAGAUAAAUUCGUAUGUAUAGCCGUUCUGCUCGAAACGGUAUAGCACUCUAGUAGUGGUAUUAUGAAUUGUAGCAAGGUGUGUGGCGACCUUUUUAACAGUCAUGGCGGUGUCCUGAGUGGGUACUUUGUAAAUGGUAGAAAUAGAAAGUAAGCUAUGCCAUUAGUUGCUGGGCAGGACUAGCAACAACAAGCGAAUUAGCUUGUUACAAAGUAAGU
rnacentral:ncRNA from 1 species